UUUAAAUAUUUGUACUAUUUUGGUAUUCAAAGAUUAAUAUUAGUAUCAGCAACUAGACACUCCUUUCAGCAGUUUGGUCCAGGCUUCCCUAUUUACA